rnacentral:rRNA from 1 species
ACACGUAUGAAAGACAAGCUGAAAGACUUUUCUCAAUGAUGUAAGUGGUGGUGCAUGGUCGUUCUUAGUUCGUGGAGUGGUUUGUCUGGUUUAUUCCGAUAACGAGCGAGACCCCGGCGUUCCUAAUAGGGGUGGCAGCCCAGCUUGUGCCUCGGCGCUUGCUAGCACGCCACCUCGCAAUUGCUUCUUAGACGUAUCAGAGCCGAUAAGGUUCUUGAAAUGGGUUAAUAACAGGUCAGUCAUGCCCUUAGAUGUUCUGGGCCGCACGCGCGUUACAAUGGUAGGCUUAAACAGUGCCUUUUACGGGCGUUCCCGGGGCCGACGGGUCCCGGUAACCCCUAGUCUCUCCCUUGACUGGGCCAGACUAUUGCAAUUAUUGGUCUCAAACGAGGAAUUUUUAGUAAUCGCAGGUCAUUAACCUGCGAUG